rnacentral:lncRNA from 1 species
GCAGAUGGAGAAAAAUGAGGUCCCGUGCAGGAGGCGCCCGUCUCCUCGGACUGUGGCUCUGACCCCUGCGUGUGCGGCAUCUGCCAGAACGCACGCAUUCCAAGAGGCAGACCGCGCCCCCGGGUGGGGGUGGCGCAGAGACUUGGCGUGCCCGUGGGUACUGCCUGGACCUUGGCCACCUCCCAAAGCAGAAAUGAUCAGAGACCUGGAAGGAAACUCAACAUGGAAGAAAUGACAACCAAGGCUGUGAAGCGAAUGCCAGGGUCAGCCUAACCCUAUCUCUAAAUAUCGCGGCAGCACGGCCGAGCGUGGAAGCCCACGCCUCGGGUGACAGCAUUUCGUGCUGGCGACAGGAUUAUUCUGCUCCAUGGGUCCAUCCUCUCUCUGAAGGAUAGUAGCUAAAGCCUUUGAACAAGAUCCGCUCUUUCUGAUCCCGUAGAAAGUAAAUUUUGCCAGCCAGCAAAUCUAGAAUACGUAUUUUUAUGGCAAAAGCCACCCCCUCAGAGAUCUGCUGAGAAGGCAGGAGAUGAGGAAGACAGGCAAAGAAGAUAAGUUCACCUGAAAGAAGGUUGAGAUAAAGGUGAAUCUGGAGCCUUGAACUCUACCUUCCGUAGACUCAACAUUCCGAUACUUUGCAAGAUUAUAAAGCUACAGCCAAAGGGUGAUGCUUCUCGUGCACAGAGGCGCUCUGUGGUUCCACAGGUCGGUUUUCCACAUCCUCUUCGGAGAAGGGCCAUGUCCAGCGCUGGGAGGAGAGAAGUCAACAGGGCAGAACCCUUGUCGUGAAGAGCAUGCAGUGUGAGCAAAGGAACAGCCGGCCACAGAGAAGACCCACACGUUUUACUAACAAAGUCACGGAACACGUGCUCCAGGAGCAGAGCACAGGGAGACAGGAAGGCUUCCUUUCCAGAGAAGGUGACUUCCGAGCUGCAUCUGAAGGGCACAUGACAUAGCAUCGGUCAAGCCCACAGACCUUCACCUUGUGCAGGAUGAACUUCAUAAAGCCUUCCUUUCCUAUGAGACCACACAUGGACCCCAACCCUUGGACCAGAGAUGCCAAGAGGAACUCAAACGAAGUCAGUCCCAGAAGGCAGGAAUUCCAUGGAAGACAUGAUGAGUUCCUCUCACUGCCUCCUAGAAGAGACGUGCGGUCAUUUAGUCCCAGUAAAAAGUGGUGCCUGUGAGUUUUCUCCACUGUAAUGUCAUUAUUUUACCCUCUGAGAUCAAUGGGUCGCUUGUGAGGAGGUACUUUGAGACUCUGCAAAUAUCCUAUGAUGAAUCAUUCAUCGAUGAUUCUUGACUGACUCAAAUAUUACUACGGCUGCCAAACAGUGGCAUUCUACGUCAUUCCUCCUACAAUCAUAAGCUGACUUUCAACAGUAGGGAGGAGUUUGCUUGUCUGCCUUAUUUAUUUAUACUGGCAUGGACUCAUGAAUCCUCACUCCAUUCAGUUUGUUAUAAUUCUUCACUACCAUCUUUUAUUUAGACACUCAAAUUGUCCCAGAAGUGUGCCAGGUACUUUAUGGAAAAUAUUUCCUGUAAUUCUCAAAGCACAUCUUUGAGGGGUAGGGAUUAUUUUGCAGACAAAGAAACUGAAACUCAGAGAGAUGAACGUUCACCACAUCUAAUUGCUGGAGUUUCCAAACUUCUUAUGCCAAGUGCUCGAUAUUUAUGUGCAUCCACCUUGUAUAUAAAUCCCCCCCCAUCCUGAUGUUUCUGCCGUAUAGGAAUUACCCUCUCGCCUCCUAUUUUUAAGAUAGGAAAAUGAGCUCAGAGAGGUUAGGCAAUGGGUCACAAAAACUAUCAUGAGAAUUCAGAGGCCUAUUUGACAUCACGUGUUGUUUUUCAGCAGCUCACGUUGCUCCUUUAAGAUGUUUUUCCUUUUGCAGAUGGGAUCCUUUUUGCCAUUUAUUUAAUUCUAUUCAGGGAAGAGGAGGUGAAACUGUGGGUUUUUUUUUUUUUUUAUAAACAGAUAGCCUGUGUUAGCUUUGGCUUCCCUGAUUCUAAUCAGCACCUAGGCUAGGAAGUUGGGGUGACUUUGAUCUUGCUGGAAUCCUUGGUGUUCUUGGGAGCUCAUGUAGUUGACUGACUAAAAAAUUUAAUCUCUCGCGGUGAAUGUGUUCUUCCUAGUUUUUAAGGAAGAUUUUGGGGAAGUCUUUCAUCCUGUAGUCAUUCUUGAAUUUGUUGUCCAUGUAAAUAUGGAUUUUUCCAUUAUUAUGUUUGUGUUAAUCACAGCACAGUGAAGAAAUUUCUCAUUCAUGAAUCACUGGCCAAGGAACGUUGCUCAUAGCUCCAUAAAAACAACGCAGACAUCUUUGAUACUUAGUUAAAAAGCAUCACUCACGCCUAGCUUUGACCCCAGGUGACCUGAAAAUGAGGUUUGAGGACCACUGGACUUCUAAUCACCCCAGAUGCCACUACAAACGCAGAGUUUGGGGUCUUGUCCCGCACUCACCAAAUCAGAAUUCUUCAGUUUUAACAAACUUCCCAGAGACCCCUGAAGCUCACUAAAGUGGACGUGCAUGCUGGUGCCUCUGACCAAGCUUCUUCCUAAGGGCUCACAGUGAUGAUGGCUUUGUACCCACAACGUCAGCCUUUGGGAUCCUUGACCUCUGCCCUGCCUCCUGCCCGCAGCAGGUCGUCACGGGUCAUCUGUGGUCCCACUGCCUCUGGGGGAUGAGCCUGCAGGCAGCAUCAUUCUCCAGGUUUUCCCAGGACAGGAUCUGAGCACAGUGUUUGACAGCCCUGAGCAAAGAUCUCAAAAGCACCAUCUUUCCGGGGAGGGGAGCCAAACCCCUCUUCUAGGCUCUGGUUAAAACCAGUGCAAAUUAAAAUACAAAAAACAAAAAUAAAAAAAACCAGCUGUUGAUUCACAAAGCAGAGUCCUGCCUGCAUUUAGGAAAGGUUACUUUAUCCCCAAACCAGGAUCACUGCCAAGUGACUGACUUACCUGCACGUGGGGUACUUGUAGCUUCUCUCCAGCUCUGCCUCACCCCACCCCCACCCUCAGCCUUUCAUGGAGGCUGAAACCAGUCUAGACUGUAAAUGGAGCCACGUGCAGAUGGUACCUGUCACAGUAGCUCCCAAGGCAAAUGAGCAGUGGUCGUGACAUGCAGGUAAAGGCUUAAGGGCCAGCUCUUUGGGGGAGGGGCUGGUUUGUACAUUUGGUGAUUUCCGUGAAGGAUAUACUCCCAUCCUGGCCAACGUUAAGCUACCGCCUCUCAAGACGUCUGCCGAUGUCACGAUGGGCUCCUGUGAGCUGGGAUGAAUUGGCUCCAGCACAGGACAAUCCCAAGACAAAGAGACUGAUUGGCUUUAACUGGGUUUGUGCAGGGAGGGGUGACCGAGGCCCACAGCUAGCUCUGCAGUAAAGAGGGAGGACUGGGGAGCACUGGCUAGUCAGCCUAGACUUCGGGGGAGAGCAAAUCCCUGUUCUGGCUCUUGUUAUUUCCACCUCUCUCCUGAGCAGCUGAGAACAGCCAUGUGGCAGAGGGCGUGUGAUUUUUCACGGACUUCAGGGGCACUCAUCUUCGCCUUUAAUGGAAAACCAUCCCAGCUUAUACCAAUGGGAAGAGCUAAUACCCAUAGCUCUGUGCAUCUCUGGUGGGCAGAGGAAGUAGACGGGAGCCGUUUCUAUGUGCAUCUCUCUGCCACACCACUGCUGAAUAUGUGUUUUAAGAGCAACGGGUACUGUGAGCAAUAAUCAGAGAUGAAGUGGAAUUCAAGAGCCCGACUCAUGCCAGUUUCUAAACUCAUCCUUCCUAAGUGUGGCUGGAAAGGGAGGCGGGGCCAAUAGGCACACACCCCCCUCUCUCCCGGUGAGAGGAAACCUCACAAUGGGUUCCCUAGACCAAGAGCUCCAGAUGGAGUGAAAGCCCAGAGGUGGCAAAUUCUGUGUCACUGUGUGACCCUGGGCCUCUCAUUGAGCUGCCAGAAGCCCUGGGUUCCCCAUGGCGCUGGGGACCCAGCACGGUUCUCAGGAGCGCUCUUCUGGUUGCAAGGAACAGACACUACUCGGACUGGCCCAAGGCAACGCUGUGUUAGCUGUGGGGAUGAAGGGAUCCUAGAGCAGAGCAUUGCAUCCAUCCAGGAGAACAGAGGCCGUUCAGGACUGAGGCGGUCCUUCGGUUUUCUUUCUUUCUCUGGUUCCAUUUGGUCUUUCAUCUCCUCUCCAAUCUCCUGCCUCUGAAGACAGGCCUCCUUGUGCCUUUAGACUGUACUCAGCCCGACAUGGUCACCCGUCAGCGCUCACCCGCAGGAGUUCUCAUCUCAUGUUCUCGUCUCCAAGAGUGCCUUGGAGGUCAAAUCUACAGGAAUGAAAAUCUGAUUGACCUACGUUGUGUGUUUAAGCCAAGCAGAUGCUGAAUCACAGGGCAGACCCUGCACUCCGACGUCCUUUGGCUGUGGUGUCUGCCCACGUGUGAUCCUCUCGGCCAUGACUGGAGAAGCCGGGGCGAGAAACACAGCACGUGCCGGUGUGUCCUUGAGGAAGCCACGAUGCAGCCCUCAGUGCUUCCCAGAACUGUGGGCUGCACAUGAAUGGCAUGAAACACUGUAACAGACAUCCAGAGAUGACCAGCUUUUUGCAUAGGAUUGAAGAAAUCCAUAUUGCAAUACUAUAUCAUUGAGUUUUGAUAACAAAUUUUAGUUUUUUAUGGGAAGAGAGGUUUUUUUUCUCCCCUUUGCUUCUGGUUAUUUUCUUUUUUUUCAAGUUUUGAAAAAAUUACAGUUGAUUUGCAAUGUUCUGUCAUUUCUAUGACACAGCAAAGUGACCCAGUUAUACAUAUAUAUAUACACACAUUCUAUUUUUGCAUAUUACCUUCUCCUGUUGUAUCACAAGUGAUUGGAUACAGUUCCCUGUGCUGUACAGCAGGACCUCAUUGCUUAUUCAUCCUAAAUGGAAUCGUUUGCAUCUACUAACCCCAAACUCCCAGUUCAUCUCACUCCCUCCCCCUCCCCCUUGGCAACCACAAGUCUGUUCUCCAUGCCUGUGAGUCUGUUUCUGUUUUGUAGAUAGGUUCACUUAUGCCAUAUUUUAGCCUCUACAUAUAAGUGAUGUCAUACGGUAUUUGUCUUUCUCUUUAUGACUUAGUAUGAGAAUCUCUAGCUGCUGUGGCAAAUUUUGUAAAGUGCAUCAAUGAGUGUCAUUUCAUUUAAUUGAAACAACCUUGGAAGCAUUCUUAGGUCCAUUUUAAAGAUGAGGACACUGAUACUCAGCAAAGCGAUUACCCCAAGGCCCAGCUGUUAGGAAACGGCAGAACUAGGCUUAACGUCAGGUUUUCUGACUCCACAUCCAGGGCUCUUUCCUCCUGGCAAAGGAUCAGACAAUCAAGGGCGAGGAAGGACUGUACAGAAACGGUUCUGAAGCUUUAUCUAGAGCUCAGGACUUUGGUUUUAAGUGAAAGAAUCCAACUCCGACUAUUUUGAGCAAAAUGAGAAUAUACUGGCUUCUGCAACAGAAGAGCUCAGGAGCAUCUGGACUCCAAACAUGGAGCCCUGGUGUUCUUCCUCUCCCCUGGCACCACCUUGAGGCUUCCUGAUCCUUAGGAUUCUCAGUCAGACUUCCUCUGCAAGGAGACAAGGGGGCCUCCAGCAUCUUCACAGCUUCACAUCCAGGAGGAGAAAGUCCUGCAUCAUGACAGUCUAAGAAAUCCAGAAAUUGAUCUUGGACUUGACUAGAUCCUGAGCCCAUUCCUGGAUCAGCCCAUCACUUCUGCUGGGUGGAUCUGAUGAUCCCAGAGGCCUGGCAGGAGUCCCAAGUUCACCACAGAACCCUGAGUUGGUGUCAGCCCACACGCAAUCCUGGGACUUGAGAGGAGGGGCGGGGUGGCUCCCUGGAGCGAAACUGAGGUGCUGUGACCUCAGAGGAAGGGGUGAUGGCUGCUGAACAGGCAAAACACAACAGUUAUUCCCCUUGGGGUAGGAAAAAAUGAAGCGCAUGUGAGCCUGAGUGAACUCUGGGGGCACAGGUAGGAGACAACACUUAGCACUUGGGUGUGGACACAAGAGGUGCCCAAUAAAUAUUGAUAAAUAAAUGAAUGAAUGGUCCAGACUGUUGUGGAAUAAUGAAGGGCAGGUGCCUCUGGGGCAUAGGACGUAUAAGGGAACACUGGAGAGAAGAUGCUGGGGCCAUAAUGAAAAGUACCUUGUAAGCCACGGUGCUUGUUUUCAGGCCAUGAGAGCUUCUGAAGGUUUUUUGAUCCAGGGUGUGCCAUGGUCAAUGUUUGGAGGAGAAAAACAAAAACAUGGAAAUUUCAACGUGCUAUACUCUUGUGCAAGUAUUAUCUUUUAUGGGCCUGGUGUGUCCUCCUUGCCCUUGAAGCUUUUCCCGUUAAGAUUUGGAAUCCCUUUAUCUGAAAGUCCCUAAGACAAGAAAACUGUGAGUAGUCACAGGGGCAGAGUGGCAGCGGGCUACCUGAGUCUGAUCAGGUACGCCCACCCCCUUUGUGGGCCUCCACGUAUGUAGCCCCACCCAGACGAAGGUGAAGGCCUGAACUCCACGACACUGGAGUUUCUCAGACUCACAUCUGUGGGAUGGUAGAACAGGUCUGGGUGCGGCCCCCCCCGGGGUGUGUGAACGUUCUUCGUGCUGGAGGUGUGCUCGCUGCCAUGCAAUUUCAUGUCAUGACUAGGCAUGAUUUAUUGGCAUUCUUUAUUACACCUGACUUGGAGGAGGGGUCUCGGAUGAGACUUCCGGGGAUGGGGGGAAUAUCUCACCACGAAUGCCCUCCCAGGACCAGGCACAUCUCAAGUGGUGACUUGAAUCGACUGGGGUUGGAAGAGUAUCGGCAGAGAGCUCUGCCUGCCACGAAGCUUCCCUGUUCUCAUGAGAUCCAGUCACAGCUGCUUCUGGUCCAGAAUGGAGAACAAAUAUCAGAGUUUAGAAAAAAAAAAAAAAAAAAA